GACACUUUGGCCGAGUGGUUGUAAGUUGCUGCACUCACCGCUGUUUCGAACAGUUCCUAAUAGUCUUUCAGAAGGCGUGUGACUAGAAACUUCUAGAUCAUCACAUGGGUUCGCCCGCACAGGUUCAAGUCCUGUAGGUGUCG